CUAUGUGAACUCUCUCUUUUCUUUGAAUCAUUAACUAGAUGGAACCUUAUAACUAGAACCACUUUAAUAUUUUUAAAACAAUAAAGCUAAUUCCUUUUUUUUCUUUAUUAAAAACGUCUUUACCUAUUCCCUUCCUAAAUUCCUAGAUCUUGUAACAUCUCAGAAAACAAAUCAUAAUCCUCUUUCUCUCUGUCUCAGAUUUCUCGAUCCAGAAAUUGUAGUGUCCGUAAUCACGCCGCUUUGCUUCGGUUUCAAUCUCCGACAUGGAAGAGAACAGAGAAGACGAUGUCUCCCCGAAAGACUUUUCGCAACAGAUCGGUUCUCCUGUCGCCGUCUGAAUAUUACUCAAGACCUAACACACUUGCUUUCAUCCUCCAUCGUCUUUGUGGUUCUCCAGAAUUUGUGGACAAGAUAGUUAUGGACAAGAUACUUGUGGUCAAGAGAAUUGUGGUUAAGAAAAUUGUGUUAUAGAAGAGAGCAUUGUGGAUAAGAUAGUUAUGGACAAGAUACUUGUGGUCAAGAGAAUUGUGUUAACAUUUUUAUAAAGAAGUCAUGCAAUUCAAACCUCGUACUCACAAACAUGUAUACAUGAUCCGUCCAUAAGUAUCCAUCCACAAGAGCUUGUCCACGUGGUUACUAUCAGCUUACGUAAUGUUUUGACAUUUUUUGUUGUUUCCAGCUUAACUAACUGUAAAAUUAUUUAAAGAUGGAGACAAUAUAUACUAAUUUUUUUGAA